rnacentral:rRNA from 1 species
UACAGAGGUCUCAAGCGUUGUUCGGAUUCAUUGGGCGUAAAGGGUGCGUAGGUGGCGGGGUAAGUCAGGUGUGAAAUCUCGGGGCUCAACCCCGAAACUGCACUUGAUACUGCGGUGCUUGAGGACUGGAGAGGAGACUGGAAUUCAUGGUGUAGCAGUGAAAUGCGUAGAGAUCAUGAGGAAGACCAGUGGCGAAGGCGGGUCUCUGGACAGUUCCUGACACUGAGGCACGAAGGCCAGGGGAGCAAACGGG